CCUACGGGAGGCAGCAGUGGGGAAUAUUGCACAAUGGGGGAAACCCUGAUGCAGCGACGCCGCGUGAGUGAAGAAGUAUUUCGGUAUGUAAAGCUCUAUCAGCAGGGAAGAAGAAAGACGGUACCUGACUAAGAAGCCCCGGCUAACUACGUGCCAGCAGCCGCGGUAAUACGUAGGGGGCAAGCGUUAGCCGGAUUUACUGGGUGUAAAGGGAGCGUAGACGGCUGUGCAAGUCUGAAGUGAAAGCCCAGGGCUCAACCCUGGGACUGCUUUGGAAACUGUGGAGCUAGAGGGCUGGAGAGGUAAGUGGAAUUCCUAGUGUAGCGGUGAAAUGCGUAGAUAUUAGGAGGAACAACAGUGGCGAAGGCGGCUUACUGGACAGUAACUGACGUUGAGGCUCGAAAGCGUGGGGAGCAAACAGGAUUAGAUACCCUUGUAGGUC
rnacentral:rRNA from 1 species